rnacentral:rRNA from 1 species
UACGGGGGGAGCAAGCGUUGUUCGGAUUUACUGGGCGUAAAGGGCGCGUAGGCGGCCACGGCAAGUCACUUGUGAAAUCUCCGGGCUUAACUCGGAACGGUCAAGUGAUACUGUCGGGCUAGAGUGCAGAAGGGGCAACUGGAAUUCUCGGUGUAGCGGUGAAAUGCGUAGAUAUCGAGAGGAACACCUGCGGCGAAGGCGGGUUGCUGGGCUGACACUGACGCUGAGGCGCGAAAGCCAGGGGAGCGAACGGG